rnacentral:rRNA from 1 species
AGGACGAACGCUGGCGGCGUGCCUAAUACAUAGCAAGUCGAACGGUCUUUUCUAUGGAAGCUUGCUUCCACUGAGAAGAUAGUGGCGAACGGGUGAGUAACACGUGGGUAACCUGCCCAUAAGAGGGGGAUAACAUCCGGAAACGGGUGCUAAUACCGCAUAGUUUUCUUGAUCGCAUGAUCGGGAAAGGAAAGACGGCCUUUGUGCUGUCGCUUAUGGAUGGACCCGCGGCGUAUUAGUUAGUUGGUGAGGUAACGGCUCACCAAGACGAUGAUACGUAGCCGACCUGAGAGGGUGAUCGGCCACAUUGGGACUGAGACACGGCCCAAACUCCUACGGGAGGCAGCAGUAGGGAAUCUUCCGCAAUGGACGAAAGUCUGACGGAGCAACGCCGCGUGAGUGAAGAAAGGGUUUUCGGAUCGUAAAACUCUGUUGUCAGAGAAGAACAAGUUGGAGAGUAACUGCUCCAGCCUUGACGGUAUCUGACCAGAAAGCCACGGCUAACUACGUGCCAGCAGCGGC